AAACGAAACCUCAAGAUCUUCGCAAUUUAUGAUCGCAAAGGCCUUUAGAUUACACUGACAAAGUUUGGUGUUGAUCUGAAUAAAUCUCUAGGAGGAGUUCGUUAAAGUACAACCCCUGAAAAUGGCAAAAACUACACAAAUUUUGCAGAGAAAAUUCAAAAUAACCGACUUCCUGUUGGGAUUCGAAUGUCGUACCAAGAGACUUUUUUGUAGGUAUUGGUGUGUUACAUGUGUGUACCGAUUUUUGUACAUGUAUGUGAAACGUAGCUCGAGGCGCACUCCGUUGAAAGUGUAUAGGUGGCGCUAUCGAGGCAUUUUGCCACACCCGAUGGAAUAUUGGCCUUCAGAUGUGUUCAGGCCAGGACUCUUAUCAAACAUGUGAAGUUUGGGCAAGAUCGGACAUUUUAUGCCUGAGUUACAAUAACUUUUAUUCCCAUGGCGAGACAUCGAACUUUGUGACGGCGCCAUGGACACGCCCUUUAACGAAAACUCAAGAUCUUCACAAUUUAACAUCGCACAGGCCUUUAGAAUAGAGUGACUGAAAAAAAAAAUGUAUGUCAUAAAAUUUCUCGGGGUAGUUUGUUACAGUGUAAAAUAUGUCACUUCCUGUUGCCAGUAGGUGGCGCUAUGACUAUAACUGAAUAUGGGCAUAUCAAUCUGUUCAGGUCAGGAGUCUUAUCAAACAUGUGAAGUUUGUGGCAG
ensembl:lncRNA